rnacentral:rRNA from 1 species
GACGAACGCUGGCGGCGUGCUUAACACAUGCAAGUCGAACGGAAAGGCCCUGCUUGCAGGGUACUCGAGUGGCGAACGGGUGAGUAACACGUGGGUGAUCUGCCCUGCACUUCGGGAUAAGCCUGGGAAACUGGGUCUAAUACCGGAUAGGAGCCAUUUUUAGUGUGAUGGUUGGAAAGUUUUUUCGGUGUAGGAUGAGCUCGCGGCCUAUCAGCUUGUUGGUGGGGUAAUGGCCUACCAAGGCGGCGACGGGUAGCCGGCCUGAGAGGGUGGACGGCCACAUUGGGACUGAGAUACGGCCCAGACUCCUACGGGAGGCAGCAGUGGGGAAUAUUGAACAAUGGGCGCAAGCCUGAUGCAGCGACGCCGCGUGGGGGAUGACGGCCUUCGGGUUGUAAACUCUUUUCGCUAGGGACGAAGCUUUUUGUGACGGUACCUAGAUAAGAAGCACCGGCUAACUACGUG